ACAUGGUUGCACCUUUCAGUACUUUUAUAUUUUCAUAUUUAGGAAACUUGGGUAAUUUGUUUUCUUGGAAGGUUCUAUUGCCUAAAAAAACAGCUAUAUUUUGACAAUACUGCCCUUUCAUAUUCAUAUUCUUACUUUAAACUUUGAGAAAGUGACUUAGAGGAGUACCCGGGUGGCCCAGUUAAGUGACCAACUGUCGAUUUCAGCUCAGGUCAUGAUCUCAGGGUCAUGAGUUCAAGCCUCACAUCAGGCUCCGCGCUGGGCAUGGAGCCUGCUUGAGUUUCUCUCCCUCUCCCUCUGUCCGACCUUCUCCAUCCCAACCCCAUAGGCACAUGCUUUCUAAAAAAAAAAGAAAGAAAGAAAAGAAAAGAAAGCAAAAACCCCCACAACUUAGAAAUGAUAUUGUGUUCUUCAUUUAUUCAUACCCAGUUAUGUAAGCAAAAACUUACAACUAAGACCAAUCAUCAACCCUGCCAUUGUAAAUUGUUUUUUUUUUAUUAUAGUUUCAUCGCAGACUCCUAAGACUUGUCCUCACCCCUGCCAAUUUUACAGAAAGAAUUCUAAACAAGAAUAUUUACUCUGUAAAGACCUCCAAAAUGUUUUCCCUUUCAAAUUUUGGCUGAUUUUAGAGAGGAAAAAAAAGUAAUAAUCUGAAACUCAAAGACUUGAUCUUACUUGAUUAGGUUCCAUAAUAAAAGAGCAAAGUGGGGCACCUGGGUGGCUCAGUUGGUUAAGCCCAGACUCUUAAUCUCAGCUCAGGUGUUGAUCUCAGGGUCCUGAGAUUGAGCCCCAUGUUGGGCUCUAUGCUGGGCAUGGAGCCUACUUUUUUUUUUUUUUAAAGGCAAAGUAGCUGAAGUAUCUAUAGUAAAAGAUUUCAGAAUAUUGUGUUUGUGUACAAUAUUACAUGCAAGCAGUUUCCAGUCUGAUGCAACGAAUUAAGCAGGUUCUAUGACACUGAAAAAGCUCCACUAUCAUAGCCUGUUAUGGAGCGUGAGUUCUGAUCUGUCAAAAUAAAAAUUUAAAAAGCAUAAAAAAGAUGCUAAUUUCUAUAAAAUGUAUAUUUCAUAACAUGUUUGGUACAGAAAGUCCUAGAAGUCAAGUUUUUAAAGUUCUACAAACUUAGAAAAUGAAAAAUACAAAUAUUCAUAAGGAGUUGUGUUUUCGACCAAGAAACAUUACCUUAAUCUUUCAAAGUAAAUCCUUUCUAAUUUCUGAACAUAGUGUUAUUGCAAUAAAGUGACCUGGUGGGCCUAAAUUUUUUUGUUCAAUCUAGACAUUUCAUUGAGAGGAAAAGAGCAGAGUCAGAACCCUGCUUUCUAUCUCAUCAUCCUAAUUCUGGUAACACUCAGCAAAUUCUCAAAUUCAAAAGCUUCUAGCAUUUGAGGCCAACAAGGUAAGAAAGGGAGCAAUUAUUCCUCUUUAUGGAGACUGAAUUAGAUACCAUUGUAACAGACACCCAUGGAUAUUCCAGAAACAUUUUAAAUUUUAUUGCAGUAGAUACUGUUGGGAAUCCAUCCAUUUCAGUAAUAAUAAACCACCCAGAUUGAUACUUUAUUCAAAAUUUAUGUUUUUUUUGAUCACAGGUGCAAUCCUUAGUCUCCAGUCCUACUAAGAGAUUGUAAUGUCCACUUAAGAUUGCAUAGUGCUGCAUGAAGCUUCAAAGGCUCUUCAUAAUCAGACACAGGACUUCAUCUAUACGUCCCGAGCCCCAGAAUCUGUUUCCACCUGUGUGCAGAAGCUCCUGUGGGCUCUGCCCACGUAUGGAGAAAACCUUAGCUCUGUCAGCUUCAGCUUUCUCCACGUUUAAAGUAAACGUACAUUUAGCUGUAAACUCAGGUUUGUUUUUAACUUCUGGUAAUUCUAAUCCUUUUAGCUGCACUGAAGAAUAUUUUAAUUUGUACCUUUGUUAUUUAUAAACCGCAGAGGUUUGUUUUUAACUUCUGGUAAUUCUAAUCCUUUUAACUGCACUGAAGAAUAUUUUAAUUUGUACCUUUGUUAUUUAUAAACCGCAGAGGACUUGCAUUGGCAGUGAUCAGGGGCGUGGGUGCACCGAGGGGUCCUCCUUCCCACCCUUUCUUAGGCUUAUCUGCUUGCUCUUCCUGGUCUCUUUCUCCUUAUCAUUCUUUUUCUCUCUCUUUUUUUUCUUUUUCUUUUUCUCUUUACUUCCUCCUAUCCUUCAAAAACCUGAGGAGUCCAUUAACCUUGCCUAGUUCCGCUGGCUGCCUGGCUGCCCUAAUAACUGGUCCCUGUGGCUUCAGAGGAUGGAAUCCCAUCCAGUUCACAUAACCUGGUGAAUGGCUUGCUCUCAGCCUUCAGCAUAGAGUUCUAUUGGUCCACGUUGAAAAAAUUAGUUACGUGAUAAAAAUCUAGGGAGGAAGUAAUAUGCUUCUUAUACAAUUGGCAUCUUUUGUGCUAACAUAUAAGAGUUUAUUUAAACAUUUAAGGUCGCACUUUCAGAGAAGAGAAGCUGUCAAGUUCUUAAUAUGCGUAUUUUAAGAGGGCAUAAUUUUUUACUUUGAUUUUCAUAUUCCAUUCAAGUUUUGCUAAAUGUUGGUCCUGAGAGCACAUUGUGGAGGAUGCUUUGGAAAAUAGUGGGCCCCUCAGCUGCGGUUCCUAAUGAAUCUGCCUUAGGCCGUGUUACGCUUUAUGGUAAAUGGUGUUAAGAGUGAAUUCCCAGAGUCUAGAGAUACAAGUGGAAAGGACACGUUCAUUAGCCCCAGUUUCAAAUUAUGUAAACAAUUUAAGUUUCAAACUCCUUAGGAAACUUCUAACACUGAAAACUUCAUUGUCGCCGGCAUAAACACGGAGGAGCAAUUUUUGCAUUAGACUGAAAAUUGUUGCUUUUUUUCAAAUGUGUGAAAAGGAGAAGGAAGUGAAAUGUUCUUGUUUUACAUUUACAUUCUUUAAUUUGAAAGACAAGUGUUGUCUUGGCUGGUAGAAAAAUGUAUCAUCGUCAUAGUUUAACUCUUAAAAACACAAAGUUUUUGCCUUGUUACUAAAAGAGAACAGGUUUGCCGUUUUUUUUUUUUUGUUGUUUGUUUUUUUCAGGUUUGCCAUUUGUAAUGGUGAUGUGGAAAUGUGGAGUAAGAACACAGGAGAGAGGGAAGGCUUGACAAUCAUUAAUUCUGCUCAUAUUACACUCACUGAUUUUUGGUGAUACUUAGGUAUAAAGGAGACAAAAAGACCAUUUCGAGCUGAGUUUGAGAAUGGUUUGUGGGGCAAAGAAUAACCAGGUGGGGAGCAACAGGAGACAGCUCAUGGGCUCAUUAUAAUUUCACAGUCAUAGCCCUUUGUAUCAGUUUAUUUGUGGGCAGACACUAAUGCUUUGUUUUAUAAACACCCUAUGGAGUGAUAGGUUACAACCCCAAAAAUAAAGGGCCAAAUGCCCAUAGCAAACGGGAAACCUGCAUACAACUUAACCACAAUUACUGAACUUACAUAAAUGUGGAUUUAAUCAGAUGACUCCUUCUGAGACAGUAAAGACCCACAAAAGGAUUCAUUACCACGUCUUUGAAUCACUCAAAGAAACCUUGAAACUUAAGAUCUAGUUUUCUUAGCUUGUCCUUUUUAAAAUGGUCCUUUUAAAUUAUUUUAAAUAAUAAACAUUAAUCAUCUUGACCUCUAUACAUUCAAGGAAAUUUCCCAUGGUACUGUUUUCUUGACAUACAUAGGAGGCUACCUCAUUUAUGAAACAGAAGAUUUCAAUUUCUUUUCAGUGUGUUAGAAAGACAUUGGGAAUGAAGUAAAACCUCUCUAAAUAACUUGAUCAUGACAGUCCACCUACCUCAGCUUUCAGUGUCCGACUAAAAGCCCAGCUUAAUCAAUUCUUGCUUAAUCAGAAAGGAGCUAGUGGUGACUGAGAUUAAAAGGCAAGGGAGUGCAAGUGGUAAAGGGGCCACAGUAUCAGUAAAAUUUCUUAAGGGCUUUGUUCUAAUAAGUGGACAUAAGAGGAACAAAAAAGUAUCUUCUAAUGUGGCCUGUGGAUAAUCUGAAAUAGGAAAACUCAAGAAAUUUAUAAUAUAUAGUAAUGAACACUUAGGAAAAUGCUUCACUGGUGGCUUUUCAUACUAUACUGGCAGCUUGAUGAUGAAGUUUUGUUUUCAUUUGUUUUCUUUGGCAGGAAAAUGGAUAAUCACUGACAACAGACUAUGCACUUGUGCCUUAACCUUACCGCUUACAUGUUAAACUCCUGCAGGACGCACCCCUUUCCUAGUGGAACAGGGCCCGUGGCAAUGAUCUUUCCUCUCACUGGAGUUUUAAAAAAUGUUGUCAUUGAGUGUGGCAAUGGUGUAGGAGUUAACCCACAAGUUCCCAAUCUAUUAAAGAUGUUUCUAAAAAAAAAAAAAAAAAAAAGAUGUUUCUAGCCUUUCAGUGAGUGCUGUACAGUAUUUUGGAGUUGAAUGUCACUAACCAUGUGUGUGUGGUGGGAACUAUCAGUAUAAAAUAACUAUUGGAAAUAUGAUUAAAUCUGUCAUACUAUUCUGGAGCCUCUGACGUAUGACUUUUAUUCUUUAACAAAUAAUACUUUUUAGUAUCUGUCCAUUAUUAGAAGAGCCAAUUUGUUAAAUAUUUUAAAUAUUUUUCUCUUAUGAUCUUCCCUAACCAUAGUCUCAUAAUUUAGUCUAUAUUGGAAUAGUAUUUCAGGGACUGAGGGUUUCUUGAGUGCUAUUUUUUGACCCCAUUGCAAUGAGCAGACUUUAUAGUUGGUGCCUUUUUUUCGUACCAAAGAAAAAUUAGAUCAAAAUUGGUGCUAAAUUUCACGUUCCUUUUAAAAUGAUUUUUUUCUUUUUUAAUAUAUGUAUAUCACAACAGGAAAUGUAUAGAUCCAGCAGUAUUAUGCAUGUUGUAUUCUGUAUAUACAUUUAAGGACAAAAACCUCACCUAUAAAAAGCAAUGGAAUUCCCAAAUCUGCUUAGAGGUAUAUAAUUUUUGUUAACACAUAAGGCUUUAAAGUAUAAAACUGAUAAGAAAAUGAUCACUAAAUGAAAACUUAGUAAUGAAUAUACCCCCUAAGGUAGUAACUUUAAGGAAAAAGUCCCAUACAAUGUUAUAUCUCAAAAAAUAAAAAUAAAAA
rnacentral:lncRNA from 1 species